GAAUGUCCUCCUCUCAAGAAUGUAGAAUUCACCAGGGUUCUUCGACUAGAGACAAAGAUAUCAGAUGAUCAUGUAUCAGUGAUCAACUUGACUGACUUAAAUGAGGCUAAGUUUGAUUGGGACUCUGUGGAUCAUCUCAUUGAUCAACUAGUGAAUGAAAAUGAAAUUCACGCCUUCAUCUUUGUUGUGCGACUGGGCCAGUUAACCAAUGAUGAUAAGAUGGGUCUGGAAUGGCUUCAGAGAGUGUUUGGUGACAAAGUUCUUCAAUUUGUGAUGAUUCUCUUCACCUAUGAGAAAGAAGAAGAGUGUGACACUAUAAUAGAUGAUCUAAAGAAAAACCCUGUUCUGGAGCAGCUGCUGGAGAAAUGUGGAGGAAGAUAUCAGACUUGUAACAAGAUGAUGAACAACCAAUCAGAGAUGAGAGACCUGAUGAAGAAGAUUGAGUAUCUGUUUUAAUGAGAAUCAACAGCAGUGCUACAUUGCAGACAUUUACAACACAUCACUGAGACCGAAAGAAGAGCUGGAAAACACUGAAUGUGGUGAUAAACCCACAAGAAUGGAGGACAAAUGGACAUCAGAGACUGUAGAAAAUCAGAAGGGAAAAAACAAGGAUUUGGGAACAACAGGAGUCCAUCCAGAUGAACAGCUACAACAGGAUGAGACUGAAAAACAGAGUAAUCUAUUUAACAGACUUCAUCUUGACAGGUGCCACAACAAAGUGGGAGCUGCAGAUGUUCUUCAGAUAACUGAACAUUCAUUACAGUCCCAUGAGUCUUGUGCUGAAGAUGAGCUGGUUCAUACUUUCAUACAGAAACUACUGAUGGUUGACUACAGAGCAAGAUAUAUUCAUGUUAAAGUGAUCAAUGAGUGAGAUCGAAUAAAACAAAAAGACAGUGAUUCA
ensembl:lncRNA